rnacentral:tRNA from 1 species
GAUUGUUUAGUUUAAAUUUAAAACAAAUGUUUUGAAAACAUUAAAUAAGAAUAUUUCUUAAUAAUCU